rnacentral:rRNA from 1 species
UAUCUAUCUAUAUGUCUUGACCAAAUUACGUGCCAGCAGUCGCGGCAACACGUAAAAGACUAGUGUUAUUCAUGUUUAAUCGGUUUAAAGGGUACUUAGACGGCAAAUAAAGCUUUAACAGUACUUAUUAUGCUAGAGUUAUAUGUAAGGGAGCUUUAAGGUACUUUUGAGUGAAGAGAUGAAAUUCGAUCAUACCAGAUCUUGGCACGGGUUUUGGCGAAGGCAUCUUCUUAUGUAAUAACUGACGUUGAAGGACGAAGGCUUUUAUAGCAAACAGGAUUAGAUACCCCAGUAGUCCAGGCAGAAAAUGAUGAAUGUCAUAGAUUAGAUUUAAUUUGGUCUAUAAAUGAAAGUGUAAGCAUUCCACCUCAAGAGAAUUUGGCAACAUUGGAACUGAAAUCAUUAGACCGUUUCUGAAACCAGUAGUGAAGUAUGUUGUUUAAUUAGAUUAUACGCAAAGAACCUUACCACAAUUUGAAUACUAUUUAUAUUUUAUUUACAAGCGCUGCACGGCUGUCUUCAGUUAAUGUCGUGAGAUAUGGUUAGUUCCAAUAAAUUAACGUAAACCCUCACUUUAUUUUUUUAUAUAAAAGUAGUUCCCCGCUAUAUUGGAUUAGAUAACAGGGAAUAUGACAAGUCAUCAUG